rnacentral:lncRNA from 10 species
AGCCACAAAAAGUCAACCUUGAGCCAAGCAGAUUGGAGAGUCAUACAUGCCAUUCCUGGGACCAUCAAAAAUGGCAGAGGUCACACAAAAAGGCAAAACUUUUAAGAGGUGUUUUAAACGUCGUAUGGGCCAAAGAGAAGCUGGAUUUCCUAUUGGAGUCACCUGUAACACACGUGUGACGAAAUUGGCCUGUGAGGACAAGGCAGUGAGCAGAGAGGACAGCAGUCCUUAUGAGAUCAAGCUCUAAGGCCUGGAGUGCAGUGGAGCAAUCUCAGCUCACUGCAGCCUCCGCCUCCCGGAUUCAAGUGAUUCUCCUGCUUCAGAUUCUCGAGUAGCUGGGAUUACAGUUUUGAGAAGAAUGCGAAGAAGAAAGGAAGAGUGAGCCUCUCUUUCCCAUCGUUACCCUCCAUUGUCCUCUUGACACCCUGCUUUCACAGAGAAAGAGUUUGAGACCCUCUCCCAGGAGCCAAGGAGAGGGGAACAGCUGGCUUCACAUCAUCUUUCUAUUCAACAAGAUACAAAAAGCUGAAGCCAGGAUGAUAGAAAAGCAACAAAGAAGACACGGUCCUUACUCAUUUCCCUUCCCACUUCAGAGCAAAUAUGGUGCCUGGUGUUCGAAGGGAGAACUUGUGGGCAG